GACGAACGCUGGCGGCGUGCUUAACACAUGCAAGUCGAACGGAAAGGCCCUGCUUUUGUGGGGUGCUCGAGUGGCGAACGGGUGAGUAACACGUGAGUAACCUGCCCUUGACUUUGGGAUAACUUCAGGAAACUGGGGCUAAUACCGGAUAGGAGCUCCUGCUGCAUGGUGGGGGUUGGAAAGUUUCGGCGGUUGGGCAUGGACUCGCGGCUUAUCAGCUUGUUGGUGGGGUAGUGGCUUACCAAGGCUUUGACGGGUAGCCGGCCUGAGAGGGUGACCGGCCACAUUGGGACUGAGAUACGGCCCAGACUCCUACGGGAGGCAGCAGUGGGGAAUAUUGCACAAUGGGCGGAAGCCUGAUGCAGCAACGCCGCGUGCGGGAUGACGGCCUUCGGGUUGUAAACCGCUUUCGCCUGUGACGAAGCGUGAGUGACGGUAAUGGGUAAAGAAGCACCGGCUAACUACGUG
rnacentral:rRNA from 1 species